CGGGACUUGACAGCCCUACGGCUCGAUCAGCUUUCUGUUUUCAUUGCCUUACGAUGCCAUGAGUGGAACUAUUGUCAAAUCAGAGUUCACUCCCCAGCUUUUCAGUCUUUCCCCUAAUUCUUGCUCUAUCAGAGGUCGAGGACAACAGUAUAAUGAUUCAUAGGUUCUACUUCCUGGCAAGUAAUCAUUUUCCCACGGGCCCUUGUGAAUUGAUGAAUAUGAAGACACUAAGAAAGCAGAAAUAGAACUGAGAAGAAUGAAAUAACUGUCUCUACCUUUCUCGAAUUGUCUAAUAUGGAAAGAAUGAAAGACAGCUAAUAAGCAACUCUCUGCAAGAAGACAUAUGGCUUAGGUUCUGCUGAGCUAUUGGCCUAGGAAAACACCAGGACUAACCCCCUGGAGGGAGCCUAGCUUCAGGAUUAAUUAGGGCUUGAUUAAUUAAUUAAGAAUCUACUUGGAGAGAGUCAAACACAGAAUCCCUUUGAAUUUAAUGGCCAUUCCAGGUGAUUUGAACAGCCAAAUAAGAAACAGGUCCUCUUCAAUGUACAAUCUGCCAAGUAUGAAGUCUGAAUGACCAUCAUUAUUAUGUAUUUAAUGUGCAUAGAAAAUCUAUCUGCAACCUUCCAGAGUGUACCAGAAGUUUGGAAUGUACAUUAUUAUUGGCUCCAUCUCAAACCACUCAUAAAUCAAAGAAAAUAGCAGUUCCAGAGGAAUCAUCAUAGAGGCUUCUAGGCCCCCAUGCUGUGUGAACCUGGUGAGAAAGGGAAGUCUGCUCUCACUGGACACUGGAACUGUUUGUCUC
ensembl:lncRNA LINC02541 long intergenic non-protein coding RNA 2541